UACAGAGGGUGCGAGCGUUAAUCGGAAUUACUGGGCGUAAAGCGCACGUAGGUGGUUGUGUAAGUCGAGUGUGAAAGCCCCGGGCUCAACCUGGGAACUGCAUUCGAGACUGCAUUACUCGAGUAUGGGAGAGGGCAGUGGAAUUUCCGGUGUAGCGGUGAAAUGCGUAGAUAUCGGAAGGAACAUCAGUGGCGAAAGUGACUGCCUGGCCCAAUACUGACACUCAAGUGCGAAAGCGUGGGGAGCAAACAGG
rnacentral:rRNA from 1 species